ensembl:lncRNA
CAGGCGGCGCCAUUUUUCAAAGGAAAUGCUGAAAUCAUCCCAACCCCUCAGACAAGCAAGAAAGGGUCAUUUGCCUGCUCUCUCCAAACAAAGGGAUAAGAUUUGAAAUGGAUAUGGCGAGGCAUGAUCUUCAGUCGGAGAUCCACUCAGUGAAUGAUCACAUUAUGGGCCCUGCAAUGGCGUGGGGUUCAGGAAAGCUAUGCGGCAGUCGGGGGCAAAGAAAUGAACAAGUGUUUCAUCUGUCACUUUCUCAAUAAAGCGCUCAAUAAAAGUGGGAAAUUGAUGAUGUUACCGGCUGUAUUACAUCUGAGGGCUUCACAAUGAGAAAGAAAGAGAGAGAGAGAGAGUGAAAGAGAGAGCGAAAGAGAGAGAGAGAGAGAGAGGACAAAUGAAGGGAGCAGUUUCCAUCAUUUGUUUUUCUUUUUUUCUUCUUGUGGCAUUAGCAAGGGGUCAAAGUGAGGUUAAUAUCCAGACAUAAAUCAUACUCGUAA